rnacentral:lncRNA from 1 species
UCCCUCCCUCCCCUCCCCUCUCUCUCUUUCUCACUUUUCGUUCUUUUUUCUUCGGUACCGCCGGUGUAUCGAUUUUACGAUCGAAUCGUGCCGGUUCCCCGUCGGUCCGGUACGAGAUGGGAUGUACCGACUGGUUCGGCACGGUAUGGCAAACCUUGGUCCCAGGUAUUUGGGACUCUUUGGUUAACCAAAUUGCUUCAGAUUCGACUCGAUUUGGAUCCGACUUGAAUCUGAUUCAAAUCAAAUUCGAAGAGCCUGUCAAUCCUAAUCUAAUUAGGAUUUUGGUCUAAGUCUAACUUGGAUUUUUAACCGAAUUCAAAUCUAAUUAUAUCAGAUCUAAUAUGAAAUUAAUUAGCCCUUGAAUUCAAUCUCUCAUAAAUCUCUUGGAUCAUUGAUCAGACCAUUAUCAUUCUCGAAACUAAACCUUAAUCUCAUGUCCAGUGUUAGCUAGAUAUAGUUAACUAUUUAAUCUCGUAUGAUCUUUAACUUAAUUCUCAAUUAAGUUAAUCUAUUCAUUCAAUCAAGUCACAUAUUUUCAAAUUGAACUUACAGACUUAGGUUAAUUCUUUCUUACAUUAUUUGACUUAGUGCAUGACUCCAUAGGUUCGAACGCUAAGUCGGUAGCACCAGAAUCAUUUCUUGUACUAAUCGAAGUUAUCAUUUAGCAAUGGUUCUUGACGUUCGGAUAGGUCGAAUAUUUUCAAGGCAAUAUUCAAGAACCUACGCAUAUGGUUAUCGCAUAAUUCAUCCCUUUAACCUUGAAUGCUCAAGGAUGACUUUGGGUUUCAUUGUCGACCUUAGGGUUUAACUAUCAACUCUGGAGGAGUCAUCCAUAUUAUAUUUCAAUUUUUCAUAUCCAUCAUAUGGAUUAUCCGGACCCAGGUUUUACUAAAUUGAAAUAUAGUGAUGCAUUAAUUCUUGUAAUCCGGAGGGGUCAAUUCCAUCUUGAUCCAAACAGACUUCGCAAGUACUUGACUGUACUCAGUAGCCUUCUGUCACUGCAUUAGAAAUGCAGAUAGUCCGGCACCAAAGCGCAGUGAGUUACUUGUAAGUCACUAUUGGUGAUCUUAGGUCUGAGAGACACUUAUGCCCAUACGUUUCGCGAGCUGCUUUUGACAGCAGAACGCUCUGCAGGUAAGUCACUUGUUCAGUAACGAUGUACUCCUACAUCUCACCUAUAUGCCAUAUCAGUGUCUCUACACUCCUUGGUUAUGAGGACAACCAAUCUAUAUGGCACACAAGGAACUACACUCGAUAAACGUCAUCGUCUCUUAAUGAAGUAUCAUUUGAUCGCGAACAUGUUUAAAAACUAUUCGAUAAAUUCUUUUUUAUCGAUUGUCAUAUAGUUCUAAAGAUUUUAUCAUAACGUGAGUUCUAAUAAGGAAGAUGUACACCUUUGUGAUGAAAAUACCAAAAUAACCUUUAUUCAUUCAUAAUUCAUAUACAAAUGACAAAGAGCACAAUCGUCCAAACGAUUGGCUUUAGGACAUAUUUUCUAACAGAUCCUCUAACUUAUUCGGAAGCAUUCAUGAGUAGAGACUCUGACAGCUAGCUUCAAGCCAUAAAAUCUGAGAUGGACUCCUUGUAUGUCAAUCAAGUGUAGAUUUUGGUUGAUGCACAUACGGUUGUAACCCCAAUAGAUUGCAAAUGGGUCUUCGAGAAGAAGAUUGGAGCUAAUGGCUAGGUAGAGUCCUGCAAAGUCAGGCUAGUGGCAAAAGUUUUGAGACAAAGGUAAAGUGUUGACAAUGAUGAAACUUUUUCGCCUAUAGCCAUGUUCAAGUCUAUUCGGAUUUUGCUUGCUAUAGCUGUAUAUUAUGAUUAUGAGAUCUGACAGAUGGAUGUGAGCACUGCUUUCCUCAAUAGAUAUCUUGAGAAAAAAAUCUACAUGUCUCAUCUAGAGGGAUUUGUUUCUAGUGGGAGGGUAAAUCAAGUAUGCAAGCUAAAAAAAUUUAUUUAUGGAUUAAAGUAGGCAUCGAGGAGUUGGAACGUCUGUUUUGAUAAGAUAGUCAAAUCAUUUGACUUUAUCAAAAAUAUGGAUGACCCAUGUAUAUAAGACAAGUGGGAGUGCCGCUGUCUUCUUCAUUUUGUAUGUAGAUGACAUACUAAUCAUUGGGUAUGACAUCUCAAUGCUGCAAUUGGUCAAACUCUGCUAUCACAAGUUUUUUAUGAAAAAUAUGGGUGAAGCAUCCUAUAUACUUGGUAUAACGAUCUAUAGAGAUAGAUUUAAACAGAUGUUAGGCUUGUCCCAGUCUAGGAACAUAAAUCUCAUGUUGAAGAGGUUCAACAUGGAUGGGUGUAAAAGAGGUUAUUUACUUAUGAGUCAUGGCAUACAUCUUUCUAAGAAGUCUCUUAAGACACCCGAAGAGAGAAAUAGAAUGAGUUCUAUUUCUUAUGCUUCGGUUAUAGGAUCGAUAAUAUAUGCUAUGCUAUGUAUUAGGUUUGAUGUUGCUUAUGCCUUGGGCAUUGCAAGCAGAUUUCUGGUAGAUCUAGGAGAGGAUUAUUGGAAAGCAACGAAGAGUAUACUCAAGUACUUGGGAAGGAUUAGAGAUGCUUUUCUCAUUUAUAGUAGUUCGGAUUUGAAACUAGAAGGUUAUAUAGAUUCUAGCUUUCAAUCUGAUCCAGAUGAUAGCAAAUCCAUCUCGGGAUAUGUAUUUAUCCUAAAUGGAGUAGUGAGUUGGAAAAAUUCCAAAUAGCAGACUAUAACUGACUCAGUUACUGAGGCAGAGUACAUUACUACAAUUAAGGCUGCUAAGAAAGCUGUUUAGAUGAAGAAGUUCAUCUUUGAGUUGGGUGUCGUUCCUGAAAUUCAACAUCUCAAGCCCCUUUAUUGUGAUAACACUAGGAUUGUUGCUCAAGUAAAGGAACCAAGGUCUCAUUAGAAAUCUAAGCACAUUUUGAGGUGGUUCUAUCUCAUUCAAAAAAUUAUCGAAAGAUAAGAUGUGAUUAUAAAGCGAGUAGACUCCAAGAACAAUAUAGUGGAUCCGUUCACUAAAGUCUGGUCACAGCAGCAGUUUGACCGCCACCUUGAUAGCAUGGAGAUUAAGUACAGGGGCGAUUGGCUUUAGUCCAAAUGGGAGAUUGAUAGAAUAGUGUCCUACAAGCUAGUCGCAUGGUUGAUGCGAUGGGAUUAUUGUGUAUUUUUAUCUUCCUACCCAUGUACAUGAUAAUAAUCAAUUGCUAAUAAAAUAGGUAUUUUUGUUUCAUCAUGUGCUACCUCUUAUCACUUGACUAAGAUUGUAAUGGACCUUAUAGAUUAGGGCAAUGUUUUAGGGUCAUGAUGAUGAGAUCACACCAAUAAGAUCUGAAAUUAUGGUGUUCUCAAUCUAAAAUAUUUUCAGUCGUAAGAUUAUUGAGUCGGGGAUCAAUGAUUUCAGUAAGACUGGCACGUCUUAUAUAUGUUUGAUGGAGAUGGUGAUUAAUCUCACAAUCACUUGUAUGGUGACACUAAUACAAGGAUGUGGGUGCUCAUUGGAGAAUGAUUUCACUAAAUUGACCUAUAGAGAGAACAUCUGAUGGAGCCUUACAAGCAUGUCAGCAGAUGGCUCUCUAGUGAGAGUGGUACAAAUGAUCCUUAGAUUUAAGAUCACCAUGAUACCUUGUGUAUGUGGAUCUGUAUUCUGGUUCAUAUCCUAGCAUGACUCUCUGAGAUAUGUGUGGGAUGUUCUAAGCAUGGUGAAGUGUGUAUGGAGAUUGUGAGUGGUCAACAAGAAAUCGGUCACUUCUUAUAAGAGGAGUACAUCGUAUGUGAUCUCAUAGGAUGAUGACUCAUGAAAUCUUUGGCCAAAAUAGGAUGAAAAUUAGAAAAAAAAUUUAAUAUUUCAUCAUCUGAGUCAUCAUCAUUGGAUUGAGAUAUAUAUAUGGAUAGGUGCAAAGAUUUAAGUCCCGACGGGAUGGGGGCAGUCUUGGCCGUCCUGUCCCGUUCCUUUGAGAAUUCGGCACCAGGGACGGGUGUGGGAUACCGAAACUCAUUUCCGGCCUUCGUCUUGGCCGUUCCAUAUUAAUUUUGAUCGAAAUGGGCACCGGUACGACCGUCUUGGUCGUGCCCUAUUUUUUUUCAUUGUCGAAUGCAACUAAGCCAUUCGUCGUCGGAAGGGGAGAAUAAUGAAGGAAAAAGAAACACUAACCUAUUUUUUGCUUAUGCGUUGGCACCAAAGGGAGCACGGUCUUCUCCGUUUGAUUUCGAUUUUUCGAGAGUAGGAUAAGUUAGGAGGCAGCUCAUUUGGGGAAGGGGAAGGGAGGAGAGAGGAGAGAGAAGGAAGCCAUUGGAUUUUCUGACAAGGAGCCCAACCGAGAGGGAGGAGGGAGCAUCAGACCAAGAAGGAAAGGACUCGGGGCCUUUCGGAAGGUUCUCCCAGCCUUGACGCCUUCCGGUCGAUCGCAUCGGGCAUCAAACCUUCCGCAUGAACCAGGGCAAAUCUCGAAGCAUAUGCACGAUGGAUGGCACACAAUCGGGAAUUAGUGACAUAGAAGGGAGUGUGGCGUGUUAUCGACCAUGGGAUUUGACGUGGUUUAAUUAUGCCAGGUGCAUGCAAUACAUAACCCGCGCCCAUGUCCGAUCUCGUGCCCGUUUCUCUUCACACCCGCACCUCUUUGCGCCCGAUUGUAAAUUAAAAAAAAUCACAUUGACAAUGGAACAUCAACGAACAUGUAUCUAUAUUUUGAAGGACUGAAUUUUUGAUUGGAUUCACACCAUACGGCAAAAAAAAUUCAUGAAACUAAAUUAUUUUAAUAUAACAUGACUCUCAAAUCUAUAAGAAUUCAAAGUGACAAGCUAAAUCAUUCGUAGGAUUAAAUUAUUUCUGAAGCCCGGCUAAUUUUUUUGGAUGAAUUGACGUGGCCAACAUGUAAAAAAGAGUAAAAAAAAAAUGAAACUCUUGCAUGACCGAUAAUCUGAUAGGAGACGCCCGAUCGUAUACCAGGAAGCCGAUCCUGUACGACCAUCAGGACGGGGUGGGAUGUGGGGUGUCCCGUUCCAGAGGAAAAUCAGGACGCCCCUGUCCCAUGAGAUUUAAAACCUUGGAUAGGUAUUUGAGCUUAAUAUGAUUUCAUGCCCAUAACUUAUCAGGAUGUUGUAUGAUUGAAGGAUUGAAUUGUAUCGUAACUUAUCGCUGAAAGGUAUUUUGAUAAUUUUAUCAAAAUUUCACAUCUUCUAGAUAGUCAUGACACAUUGCUAGACGUCAAUCUUGACUUGUGAACUUGCAUGAAUUAAAAGAGUUUAAUUCAGUAAUCAAUUAGGAGUUCUAAUUGAUUGAUACAAUUGGGCUUGACCUAAUUUGAUUGAGUUAGCUCGAGUCUACUGCUGGCUAGAUAUGGAACUCAAUAGGUCACACACAUAUGAGAUUAGAUCUUGGACCCAUCAAUUUGGGUUUAUGUGAAAUCUUAAUGGGUUUAAUCAACAUGCUGGCACAUGGGUUCAUCCAAGUUUCGAAUUGAGUUUGACCUAAUCUCUUUGGACUGAUCAAACCCAAGGUACCCAAGAGUUGUGCACCAGAUUAAGAUGGGGCACCUAUUUUUUCUCAUGCCCAAGAGAUAAUGAUCUCACGUAAAGGGGAGAAAUUAUGGGGCGCCAUCUGGUUUCCUAAUAUAGUCUAACCAUUAACCAAGUCAAAAGAUGUUGCACGCCAUCCUUAGCCCAAGAUGUUGUGCCAAGAGAGAGGAUAUUUGGCGCCCAAAGAUGUCUGGAUGGAAUUCAAUCUUUGACUAGGUCAAAGGAGGCUCACGCCCCUUAGAGUCCAUGCGCUCAAACCUUCUUAACAUGGAAGGGUUUCAUAAGAAAGAGGUUUGGUGCAUGAGAAGGAAGAGUCCUCUUGGUAAAAUUCUUUUUUUCCCUGACGCUCAAGGUUUUAAAAAUCGAUACCAGUGACCAUCUCGAUCACCAAUCGGUUUGGUACCAUACCGACAUAUGGUACAGUGGUGUGUCGGCCAAAUCGGCACUCCAAUUUUUUUUGCUUUUUUCUUUUCUUUUGGGUGGGAGGUGUCCAAUCAAGUUUUAAUGAAUUAUUAAAUAAUUUAAAGUCCAAAAUGAUAUUUAGUGAUAUUCAUUAAUGUUCGUAACUUCGUAUCACUUUGAUACAUCUUUAAUCGCAUGUGACACGAAUCUAAGUAUGAUAUUAUAUUAUUUAGCAUCCUAAAUAAUCAAUAUAUGGACUAGAUAACAUUGGAUUUUAAAAUGCUUAAAUCAAUUAAAAAUCUAAAAAUACUCAAUACAUAUCGAUCAUUAGAAUUUAGUCGAUCGUCGAUGUCCAUAAAUAGCAUGAUCAUCUAUAUAGUCAGGAGGAACAUCAGUCUAUCUUUCUAGCCAUAUAGCAUUAUAAUCUUCUGUGCUCAUUUCGUAAGGCAGGCAGGCGUGUUGGAUCAUAACUCAUCCUUGAUCCCUCACUGAGGUUUUGACUCUGAGCUAUCAUCGAGCUGAUAGCCUGGUUGUGAAGAGGCCUAUCCAAAAAAAUCGAUAGCAAAUUUCGAUCCAUAAAAUGCUCCGGGCUACAUAGGAUAGUAGCCACUAGAAGAUGAUGUCUCCGAUGAACCAUAUCCAUAUUCGUAAGGAUCAUAGGCUGCUUGUGGAUGUGGAUAAGAGGAUCCAAAAUACGAGGACGAACUUGAUAUAUCUAUUUAUCCUACUUCACGUGCGAGGUCUUCUGUAGCUACAUCAUAUCCUGAAUGAACUCGCAGAGCCCGUCAUCUGUAUGAAAUUGUAUCAUCAUGGGCUCUACUAGCUCGUAUACCGUAGUCCCUAUCUUAUGUGGCAUGUGUAAACUGAGACCACUAGUGAAUAAAAGAUCACCAACCGGCUGUCUCCUAUCCUUCGGUCCCUCCAUGAUCAUCAGAUCCAUGAGUAGCUGAAGAACUAUCAUCACUGCUCUGUCUGGUGUUUGAAUUUGAGUGAACUGAAUGCUCACUUUCUACUGGAGCUGCAACUGCCUUUUCUUUUCUUGUCUUUGUGCUUAGCAGUUGUUUGCCCUCUCAUUAUGCCUUGCUCUGGCUGCCUAGGCUGCGAGGGUGGAUGCUGUGGCGUAACGGCUGGAGGUCUAUAUGAAAUGUUGCUACUUGUCCAUUGAGAGGCGUCCACCCCAGCCUCACUAGCAACAAAACUGGCAGGUUGUGGAGGCGAUCCUGGCUCAUCAAGCUUUGGCUUUUGCUGCUGACUCAUAAUCCAUCCGAUCAUCGGAUCUUCAUCUUCACAACAAAAUCAUUCAUAGUCGAAUCUAAGUACUUCAGCUAAAUUUCCUCAAUACAUUUGAGUCUCAGCCUCAAAUUAUAGUACACAUACACAAGAUCAUUGAGGCAUUUUUGUUUUAGACAGUUCCUCUGUUUGCUUUGGAUAAGGGCAAAGGUUGACCAGUAGCACUCACAUCCACUCGAUGAAAUCAUUUGGGAGAGGAUCUUGAUGGCAAGAUCUUUCAAAUUUCAUACGAAUCCACCAAAAUGCAUCCAUCGUUCAGCUGCAAAAUCAUUGAAAUUUAGCAAAAUCAAAAAGAAAAUUGAAUAUGUUGCACAUAGAUUUUCAUAAUUGAUUAAGUUUAUUUAUACAAAUUUUGAAAGAGUUUUUGAUUUGCUGCUUACCUGCUAAAUGUAACUUCUUACCCAUUUGAUAGCUCUAUCGAUGGUCGAUGAUCUUGAUGUACUCAUCGGCAUGCUGUGGAUCUACCAUCUUGAUUUGUUCUUUUGUUCUCUCCAUCAUAUAAUAUAAGAAGUCCAUUUGAGGAUAUUGCUCACCAUCCAUGGCUUGAAGCACUUCAUAUGGAGGCUUGAUAGCCACCACUAUCUUCUCGGCUCGCUGCCAGAAUGACUGUCUCAUUACUAAGCUCUCCACAUUGCUCCCUUCGGUGCCUAUCCGGGCAUAUUUGUUUUGUUGCCACUCAGGACUGACAAACAUCUGACGUAGAUAUAAUUUCUUUUCAAUCAGGCUAUCAAGUGCUAUAUAAUUAGUAGCAAAUCGUGUGACAUCUGGUUUCAAUAUAUCACCUACGGCAAAUUGCUGUAUCAAUGAUAGGAUCCAUGUAUGGUUGUAGAUGAAUGUAGUGAUGUUCUGUCCUGACUCCACUAUCUUUUGCACCCUACAAAUCUUUUCAAUAUCCAUUAACAUCAGAUCGAUACAAUGUGCAGCACACGGGAUCCAAAAAAUAUGCGGUCGCUGCUCCAUUAAUAUCUCCCCUGCAGCCUUAUACUAUGGUCCAUUAUCUGUAAUAACCAGCAUGAUAUUUCGCUCUCCUAUUUGAUCAAUCACCUCCAUCAAUCUGAGGAUGUAGCUGGCAUCGUGCACCUCAGCUAAGCAUCAACAGACAUGUGAAAAAAUAUUUUUCCAUCACAAUAUGUCAAGAAGUUGAUGAUGUUUCGUCUAGUAGGAUCAGUCCAACCAUCACACGUCACAGUCAACCCAUAUAUCGGCCACUUGCUCUGACAUGAGGCAAUCUAUUUUUCAAGAUCCUUCUUAUUCUGGUCAAGAAGCUCACCAUAGAUAUCCUUUGGUCCUUGAGGAUCUACAUCUGGACCGGCAUCCUGUAUAGAUGAAAUGAUAGUGAUAAUAUAGGUUGUCUGCUGCAUUCGCUGGGAUAUGACUAAAGUGAAACCAAGAUCCAAUAGCUCGUCACAUAUCCUUCUUCUUAUCUUUUUUCAAUAUAGUAUCAAUCCUAUGUUGCUUGGAAUCUCUAUCAGGAAAUGCGUAUAGAUCUAAGUCGUGGAUAGUGGCUCCUAUUGGAAUCUCCUUAGAGGACUUCUUUCUACUGUCAAAUGCUCCUAAUAUGGAUGCAAGAUGGCUAGUGCCUCUACUGGCGGACUCUCUAAUUGAGGAUGUUCUUCAAAAUCGUGAUUCAGACUCUGUUGCGGUGCUCUUUAAGCCUGACCUGCUCUCAUAAGUUGACGGCCCAAAUCGAGCUUUGUGCUUGGCUAUCUCUUCUAGUUGCCACUGAUUAUCCAAGCUCAUCCGAAUGGCAGCAUCGAUCUAUGCCUGCUUAUCAUCUGAAACAGAUCUUUUCUCUGACUCUCUAGAGUGAUGAGAAGGUAGUUUUGCUACUCGAUGAUCCAUCUCUGUCUUUUUCAUUAAUUUUUUUUCCUUCGUUGUUUUAAAAUUAGCAAAAUAUUUCUUUAUUAAUUGACGAACCUAUUGUGGACACUCAUGGCAAAUAGCUACAUUCGGAUAGCCGCCAGCUAAAUGUUGCUUCAACUGUGUAAUUUCUCCCUUGAAUUCUAUACUACACUAUUUACAUUUCCAAUGAUGUCGAUUUGAGAGCAUCUCUCCAUACUCCCAACUAAUAUCACGUUCUAGGUCCUUUUUCUUCCUUGAUGGAUUCAUUCUUGAAAAUUGAUAAGCACAUCACUUCAAUAAUUAUGUAAAAAUGAUAGAUUUCGUUUGCCUAAUUUUUUUAUAUUUUAAAUUAUUUAUUUAUUUUUUAAAAUUUUAUAAAAUAAAAUAUAUUAAAAAUUUAAAAAAUUAUGAAAAAAUAAUUUGAUCUUGGAUCUAUAUAGAAUCUUACCAUGGAUAAUAUAUAUAAUGUUCUUAAAUGGUGGACAUGCAUGAAGUGUUUUUUUUUUUCAAAUUUAUGCCUAGGCCAUUGUGCGUAAGAUGCAUUGAAACAUUGAUAAAUGGGCACCAUAUUUAUGUCAAAAAUAGCUUGCAAGUUCCUAAAUAAUAAUUUAAUUUUAUAGUUAUUUUUUGAAAUUUAUUUUUUAAAUUUUUAUUUGAAAAAUAUAUUUUUAAUUUAAAAAUUAUAUAUUUAACGAAAAUUAAUGAUUUUAGUGUCAUUGUGUAGAUCAUCCAUAGAUCUAUAACAUAUAUUAAAAUCAUGUCAAAAAAAAAUUUUGACAGUUUUCUCUUGUUUUUCUAUUUUUUACAAAUUUAAAAAAAAAGAGAGAAAGGAAAGAGAGCAUGGUUUUGAGAAACAUACCUUAAAAAGCUUUAAUCCACGUAUUCCUUGAGUCUUCCUACGCCUCUCGGUGUUAGAGAGUAAGAAAUGGAGAGAGACUGAGAAAUAGAGAAGUCGAAAGACUUCUUCUCUGUCUAUUGAAAGAAGGUCGAAUCGGGCAGUUUGGCUUGGUUAAGCUAUGUACCGCUUGGUUCACAUCGAAAUUGUUUGGUUCAAGGCUGAACCGGGCGGUUCUCUUUUUUUUUUUUUGGUCGGAUGCCGAAAACCAGGCCCGAACUGAUUCGGUUCAGUGCCGAUCCAGUUCGGCACGCUCUGAAUCGGGUGGUUCGGUCCGAUUUUGAAAAGCAUGCUAACGCCCAUGAUUUAAUGCCUUCAUUAGCCAAUGUUUAAAAGGUUUUUUCAUGUGGGAUUUGAGAGACUGAAUGCCUCAAUUAUUCAUGCUUUUUAUGGUAUUAAUUCUCUAGGUUAUGCGCCAUUCUCUUUCGUUUAUUUCUGCCCUUGCGAUGAGAAUGCCUUGGCCACUAUAUAAGGGAGGUGCUCCACCUGGUUUUCCAAACAAUCCAACCAAGGCAAGCAAGCCUAGAUAGAAAGGAAAUCCAUUUGUGGGGUGAGAAAUUUAGAGAGAGCCUAAGCAGUUAGGCAGCUAGAGUGGGGAGGAAGAGAAAGGCAAAUCUGCCUCUUCUUAAAAAGGCUGGUCUUCAAGGUUUGGGUUCUAGAUUAGAAAGAGUUGUUAGCCAUAUCUUUUGAGAAAAGAGAGGCAACUGGAUUUGAUCCAAGAAUGAAAUCAAAUGGUUGACAUUCUUCAGAAGGGUUCAGCAAAAUUCAGAUUGUGAAGGUCCCUGAUCGAGCUGCUAUGUGGAUUAUCGUUGGAGGGCACACACUUGGGUGCCUUGUGGAGUCUGAAUCGAAUCAGAUAACAUUCUGAUUCAAGGUAAUUGACUAACCUAUUUUAUGCUUUAUAUUGUUUGAUCGCUAAUCUACAAUGGAUCAUUAGGAUUGGGUUUUGGUCUGCACAUGUUUUCAUAAGAUGUUAGCAUGCAAAAAAAAAUUUUGAAAUCCAAUUCCACCGCGCAACCCGAAACCCAACAAUUGGAACAAUGUGACCUAAGAAAUUUUUUUUAUAUCGAUAUAUUCAAAAUUAGUAUGCCAUUGGAUAUAGUAAAUUGAUUCAAGCCAUCUAGUUUAUAUUUUGAGUUUCAAGUUAAUAAUUUAUUAUUUUUUCUUUUUUAAUGGCUGAAAUCUUAUAUGUAGAAAUCCAAUAAGUAAAAUUUCAGUUGAUAGGAAAUAAGCCUCUGAAAUUUAAGAGACAGAAUUUAAUAUACUUAAACUGUUAAAUAUAAUUUGUAUAGAAAUUUAAUAUACAUGAUUUAGGACACUGAAAUAUGAUAAGUACUGAAAUUUAAUUAUCAGAAUUUUAUUUCUUGUAAUUUAUUGUAAAGAAAUUAAAUUACAAAAUUUUCAGUGGUGCAGAAAUUUAGUUUUAGACACAUAUCUAUACCAAUAUAACAGUCAUUAACUUUACUGUUAUCUUAUUAAACUCAUUCAUAGAAUUGUUAUUUUACAGAAAUUUAUAUUGCGGAUAUUUAAUAUACAGAAAUCUACUAUAAACGUAUUGCAAACCAUUCAAUAAUUACUUUUCAGAAAUUUAAGGCAAAUUUUGUUUCUUGGAGACUAAUUUUGUAGAAAUUGUUUUUUAUAGAUGACUUCUUUUUCUUCUUAAACAAAUAACGUACAUUAGGAAAAUCACUUGAAUGUUUGAAUAAUAAUGGAGAGAAAGAAGGAAAGGAGAGGGAUUUAUUGUAGAGACUUGCAAGAAGUUGGGAUUAAUGUGUGCACGCGAGAAAGAGAAGUCCAUUGCUGGGCUUCUCAUGUGAAUGAGAAAGGGCAAGUGUGGGCAUGCAGGGUUUGGGUUUCUCAAGAAAGGGGAGAAAGGAUGAAGGGUGUGAGGCAGUUUCGAUGCAACAGAUAGAUGAAUAGAUAGAUUGAGAGAGAGAGAGAGAGAGAGAGAGCAAUGGGUGUGAGAAGAGAUGGGGGGUUUGGGAUUUAGAGGGCAGCAGGCCCAUAUCUAAACCAAGUAGGACUCCCUCCUAUUUCUUUUUUAAAAAAGCUGGGUCUUACAAGUACCUUUCUCAUAUUCACUAUCUUCUAUUGUCACAUUCUGUUCUUCUGCUUCAACAUCUUUUGUCAUUGUCCAUUCCUUUUCAGAUUCUUCCUGCCCAGUCAUUUCUGUUUGCAUGCUUCGACAGUGCUGUCAUGAUUGUUGCCUUUGAAGCAGUCCAUGUGGAUAUGUUUUUAAAAGGGAAAACUUAAACAUGCAGUUUAGGCACACUUAUUUUUUGACAUAACUGUCCUUGUAUUUUAGGCAACAAAGAAGAUGAGGGCAGUGGUUUCACAUGGCCAAGAGGGGACUCUGGAGAGCGGGGCAUCCAGUCGUUGAAUUUUCAGUCACUUGGUAUGGGCCCUUGGGUUCAAAAGUCACUUGAACCAUUAAUGCUGGGAAAUGAGCUCAAUUUGUGCCAAGCCAUCUCUGCUGUAGGUUCGCAGGAAAUCGGAGAUGGGGAUUUUCUGAUGCAGCAAUUUCUUCAGUAUCAACAACCUUUUCCAUUUCCUCAACAAUCCAGCCGAAAUAAUCCAUUGCUGCAGCAGCAAAUUUUUCAGCAGGCUCCUCAAGAGCAGAUUGUCAUCCCUCAGUCACAACGUGCAACUGAGAAUCUUGCACAUUCUGUUUCAGACCAGCAGUUGCAGCAAACUCAUAAUGAACAGCAUAAGCAGCAGAUUCAACAACCACAAACACAUGCAGAGGCAUUUCAGAUUCCAAACAAUCAUAUGCAGCAGCAACAAUCACCUUUGCCACCUCAGUUGCACCAAAAAUCAGUGUUUCCUGAUUCAAGCUUAAACUUUUCACCAGUCCCUGCAUCUAGUUGCAUCCAGGGUAUGUUGGGGUCUUCUCCUCCUGAUGGAAAUGCUACCAUUCUUAACUGGUCUAGACUUGGUAAUCCCAUAAUAUGUGAGCAGAAUCAGCAAGCUUGGGAGCCUAGGUUCACAAUGUCAGAGGUCCCUCCUUUUGGCAGUACUGUUAUGCUUCCUUCAUUUGCUGAGAAGGAUACUUCUGUGGGAAGUGAAAAUUGUUCAAAUCUGCAGAACCAUACCCUGUAUGGUAUUGGCAAGGAUACGCCCUCCCUCUCCAUUGCAGUGCCUAACAUUGGCAUAAGUGAUACUGGCAAUGAUCUAUCAACAAUGCCAUAUCCUGCUUCAUGUUUUCAGAAUUCUCUAUAUGGUUACCUCGAUGGAUCUUCGGGCUCGCUGCAAAGUGCAGCAGAGAUUGAUCGAGCAACCCGAACAUUUGUGAAGGUAUAACUUAAAUAACGUGCUUCCACAUUAUAUAAUAUUAUUUUUUGACUGAAAAGGCCUCUGUUUACUUAUGCAGGUUUAUAAGUCUGGAUCGAUUGGGAGGUUGCUGGACAUCACUCGAUUCAGCAGCUACGAUGAACUUCGUGAGGAACUGGGUCAGAUGUUCGGUAUUGAGGGUCUAUUGGAUGAUCCUCUUAGAUCAGGCUGGCAGCUUGUAUUUGUCGACAGGGAGAAUGAUGUGCUUCUCCUUGGAGACGAUCCAUGGGAGUAAGAAAAUCACUUAAAACAAUUAUUCUAGAUCUUCCAGGAUUUGCUCUUUCUGUAUGUACUAUGUACUUUUGUCAUAAGCUCUGCAUGGAACUAGGUCACGGUCCAAUGCCCAGACAAUUCCUGUGUAUGUGUUCCUUGAUGCAUUAAAUGUGCUACUUGCUCAGGUGCCUGCUUAGAUUACAAUUUUCUUUUUCAUAAAUUUUUCAAUAAGCAGCAAAAUAUUGUUGAAAAUCAGAGUGUAAUAUAAGAGAUUUUCAAAUUUAACAAGGUCAUAAAGGAAAGAAAGGUCAUACAAAAAUAAAUGUGUGGAGCAGAAAAGCUUGGUCAACACAUUGAAUGAUGAGUCCUUCGACCCAAAACAGGGAUAUGAUUGACCAAUGCACUAAUAAAUAUCUGCUUCCAUGCCUACUUUAAUGAACAACCAUUUUUCUUUCCCAUGUACCUAAUUCAUAAUGCUCUUUGAAGUAUUUAUUGGUCAGUCUGAUUUAUGGAUUCAAUGACCAAGUUGUUGUUAGAAAGUAGAGUAGGGUGCAUGUAUAAAUUUCAAAAAUCUUUACAAUCAUAGCAGAAAAACAAUCGGGUUAAACUCUUUAACCCCACAUGCAUUAGAUCUUAUCUAAUCCUACCCAAGUCCAAGAGAAAAGACAUACAUAUAAUUUGAAAAUUAAAAUUAGGAUGAGAUCAAAUCUCUAUAUCUUUGUGCGGGUAGAAAUUCACCGCUACCGAUGAUCACUGAUUUGAAGGUCCUCGAGCUGCACACGUGUCCGGUCUCUACAGGUAUCUAUCGGGAUCAAUCUUGAAUCAAUCUUCUCGUAGUAGAUUCUUCUUCAAGUAGGAUCUCAGUCCUUUGGAAUCUCGAUCAACUCUUUGAUCUUCACUGCAAAAUCAAUCCUUUGAACUGCAGCUUUUUCUCCUCGUUCCUCGCCGUAGAAGGAGACUCAACUCUUGGCGUGUAUAGAAGUGGGACACCCAACUUUUGGGCAUUGGGAAGAGAAGAGAAAGAAGGGGUGGCGUGGAGAAGGAGAGAGGGAGAGAGAUCUAUUUUUAAUUAAUAAUUUUUUUUUUUAAAAACCCUAGGAGACCUUCUCUUCGUAUAGGCCCUUUCUUGAUCUAAAUCAGGAAUCCAAUUAACUUAAAAAGGCACAUCCUUAUCUCAUAAGGAUUUCUACCUUUUUAAUCUGAUUUUUUCCAAUAAAAUCAGACUUAAUUUGUAGAAUAUCAGCCCACUUUGGCAAGUAUAUGGGGCGCCCCAGUCAGAUAUGGAAAUCUGAGUGGGCGCCCAAUGCCCCUUGCAGAUAGAGCAGGUAAGUGGGGCACCAAGUGUAGGUGGGGCGCCAACACUUGGCACCCCCUUAGGGUUUUAUUGCUCAAGAGAGGGGGCAUGGCCCCCCCUCUCUCUCCUUCCAGGCCCAUCCACAAGAGGGGGUGGGCCCCUCUUACAUUAUCCAAGGGUUGGCGCCCCUUGGUCCUACCAUAAAGGGAGGGCGCCAUACAUCUUUCCAAUAAUUUCAUACAACAUUAAGAGAUAAUGAGGAGAUAAUUUAGCCAACUAAUUGGCUUAAUCCAAUCCUCUUGGGCUCACAAUUAGGCACCCAAUUAAAUCCAAAUAGAUUUAAGUAAGGUUUAAGGCUAUGGACUUGAUCCAAUCGAAGUUCCGAAAAGAAUUAGGUUUAACCAUAUGCUAGCAUGGUUCUAUUAAACCCAAUAGGAUUCAAUGAAUCCUAACCUAAUUAAAACUUUAUAAGUCCAAUUGGCAAAUUUAAGAUUAAAUUUUUUAAUGUGUGACCCCAUAAGUUUCAUUCUAUCUGAUAGUGAGAUAUAUUGUGAUCUCCAUCACAAUAUCAUCGAAACUCUUUUCGAUGGGUUGGAACAUUUUCAAUUCUACCCUUCGAGAGUCAUCGAUCAUAAAGAUGACGCUCGAUGAGUCUCACAAUCCACUAGUGACACCUAGCAAUAUGUAGUGGCAAUCUAAUAGAAUGAAAGUAUGAACUCCUAGGUGCAGUUAUCGUAUGAUUCAGUCCUUCUAUCGUGAGUUCCGACUUGACGGAGGUUAUGGAGAACUCGUCAGACCCUAUUGUCAGUCAUAUGCUAGAUUGGCUCGAUUCGAGUUCAUUUAUGAAUUUCGUGGAAACUCUUCUUCAGUAUUCACACUUGCUUUCGCUAAAGACUUCCUGAGCUCAGUCUUGCAAAUCACAUAGGACUUCUUUUCUACCAAGGUCGAUAGAUUCCAUCUAGAUGCAUCCUACUUCAAACAGCGAAUCUGAACCCACUGAAGCCAACAUACACAGCAAGGAUCCGAAUGGCUAAGGACCAAGGGAACGUGCAGUCAAACUUAGUAGCCUCGCUGCGAAUAGUCAAUGACACCGCAGGUCAAAGGACUACUUACACUACUGCAGCAUCGAGAAGAUCACUGACGAGUGAGUAGACAUCUAUAUGAUUUCUCGUGUUGGUCACGCUCAGUGCAAGUUGUUCUCUAACAACCACCCACACCCUCACCCUAAUGUCCCUACACUGCAGAUCUGAGACUCAUUUGCCUACAAGGGAGGUGAACUGUGUACCGAUCUCGAAUGGAUUGAUCACUGUCCUCCAUGACGAUCCUUUGAUUGGGAGCAUUUAAAAAUUAAUCACUAAUUAAUGUAUGUCUCAAAUUCUAAACACAUUGAGAAUAUAUAAAAAUUAUCUUUGUUAAUUUCUAGGAUAAAUCAUGGACACAUAAACAUGAUUGAAAUGAAAAAGUUUCUUAUUGAUAAUAAAAAGUUAUAAGUAUAAGUUUAAGUCUUAGAAUUAUAAAAUGCGUUAGUCAACAAUUAGCUUCUAGGGAACAAAUCUAACAAACUCUCACUUGACCUAAAGUUAAUUGGCUAUAUACCUAAGAUCCAUCUUCUCAAGGUGAGCUUCGGUCUUCUGCUGGCUAAGAAGCUUGGUUAGCGGAUCCGCCACGUUUAGCGCGGAUCGACUCACUGCACUUCGAUGAACUUCUUCUCGAGGUAUUCGCGUAUGAUGUGAAACCACCGCUCUAUAUGCUUGGGUUUCUGGUGAGAUCUGGCCUCCUUAGCGAGGGCUAUGGCGUCGUUGUUGUCGCAAUGCCGUGCAAUGGCAUCUGAUGGCAUCACACUCAGAUCCGCAACAAACUUCUUGAACCAAAAGGCUUCUUUAGCAGCUUCAGAGACGGCGAUGUACUUGACUUCCAUGAUUGAAUCUGCAAUGAUCGGCUGCUUGGAACUCUUCCAGCUAAUCGCACCACUAUUACAUAAGAAGAUACAUUCCGAUGUAGACUUUCUAUCAUCGACAUCAGUAAUAAAGUCUGAAUCGAUGUAUCCCUUUACUUUUAGCUCCGAUCUUCCACCAAAGGCCAACAAUAAAUCUUUUGUCCUUGUCAAGUACUUAAGGAUGAUUUUAACAACAAUCCGGUAUUCUUCAUCUGGAUUUGCCUGAUAUCUACUCGUGACACUCACGGUAAGGGCUAUAUCAGAUCGUAUACAUAACAUUGCAUACAUGAAGCUUCUUGUUGUCGAAGCAUAAGGGAUCUUGCUCAUGCACUGGAUCUCCUCAGUUGUAUCAAGACACAUCUUCUUGGAGAGAUGAAUGCCAUGUCUAAGGGGCAAAAAACUCUUGAAGUUUUUCAUACUGAACCUCUUCAGCAUCUCCUCUAUGUGUUGGGAUGCGUAGGCGAUUUCAUGCAUGUACUUCGAAAUUUUUUUGAAAAAAUUACAGGGGAAGACAACUAGAUUAAUCAAAUUAAUCUAACAUGUAUAUGAUCUAAUCAUCAAAUCAACCUAUUCUAGGAUCUAUGACAUGUUAUGUUGCAUAUAAAAUCUGAAAUAAUCUGAAGAUAAAAUCAGCAUGCAUGCAUAUGAGCAGUAGAUCACAUAUACUUCUAAUCUGAGUUCAGAACUCUAUAUCUGAUCACGGAUCGACGAUCUCCGCUGCUGAGAGAUAUGGUGGAGAGGAUCCUUGCUGGUUGCUCGCAGCCGUACAUGCGUCCGGCCUCUAUGAAAAAUCCAUUUGAAGCUCCGAUCUGAUCAGUCUUCUCUGGAGUGCUAGCUCGCGCGAAGACUUUCUUGACUGAUCUGGAUCUUUUUUUCAAAUCUCUGGAACCUUUUCAGAGGUUGAAGAUGGACUUCUAGAGGAGAUGAAGAGGUAGAAGAAAGAUGAAGAAGAAAAUAAUUUUUUUUCUAAUUUAUUCUCUCUUUCCAAAUCCUUAGAACCAAAAAUCUGAAAUUCAAGUUUUUGCGCACAUCCGAAGAGAGAGGAUCCUCUCUAUUUUUCAUACUAUGAACCAUGCCCAAACUUUUAUCACGUGAAGAACUCUCUUCUGGUAUCUUACACAUACAAAAGAAAUCAUAAAAGCCCCUUUUAUAGGCGUGUAAGGGGGUGAGAUGAAGAGUCCUAGUGAUCCUGGACUCUUAUAGGAUUUCGCCUCCCUUCACAAUUCCACAUCCCAAAAUACGCCAAAAAAAUAUUGGAUGCUCCUCAUAUUUUUCCACGAUAAAUCAGUUCUCCAACUGAUCUCCCACGAAAAAUUUUCUCAAAAUGUUCACACAUAUAAGGAGAAAAAAAUUUAUUGGCGUAAAGAGGUUGAUCUGGAUGAGAACAGAUUCUCCUGAGAAGGAAUAUUUUGAAAUUCACUUUCAGAACCUUCCUUUUAUCAAAACCAAAUCAGAUUUGGACGUGAGAUAUAGAAGAGAAAGGACUCUUUGGUAUGAAAGAAUAUCAUACAAAAUAAUUGUGCGUGGAGAUAUAUGGCAUGCAAACUGGGUUGGUGCAAGAGAGAAAAGUCCUAUUCCAAUAAGGACUCUUAAUUUUUUUAUUUGAAUCCAAAUCAAAUCACAUCCGGUUUAGUCCAAAUAAAAUAUAUAAAAUCCAAUUUAAUUAGGUUCAUAAAUUCUUAAUCAAAUCUCNNNNNNNNNNNNNNNNNNNNGUUAAUUAGUAAUUUAAUGAUUAAUUAAUCCUUCAUUAAUUCAUAACACUUAGUGAAUUAAUUUAUUACAAUUUUUGCAUAAGGUUAACAAUCAAUCGAAUUGACCAUUAAGUCCUUAAAUGAUUCUCAAUCGUUGAUCAGCCACAUGAUCAGUCAGAAACUUCUUUUGAGUGUGACCUCAUAGGUUCGAACUUAAGUCGGUAGCAUAGAAACACCUUUCUGAACCAAUCGACGUAACGAUCUAGCAAUGAUGACCCGACGUUCGGAUAGGUCGAAUGAUGGCAAAGUAACAUUCAAAAAUCUAUUGGCGUAUGAUUACCGUAUAAUUCAUUCCUUUGAUCCUAAUGCUCGAGGACGACAUAGGAUUUAACUGUCAAUCCUAGAUAAGUCAUCCAUAUUGUAUUUCAUUCUUUUUCAAAUCCAUCACAUGGAUAUCCGGACCCAGAUUUUGCUAAAUUGAAAUACACUGAUGAUAUCUCCUACUAAUUUGGAAGGAUCAAUCUCAUUCUGACUCACGCAUUGACUUGACAAGUACUUGACUGUACUCAGAAAUCUUCCAUCACUGAAUUAGAAACCCAGUUUGACACUAAAGUAUAGUGAGUUGCUUGCAAGUCACCGUGGUGAUCUCAGAUCGGAGGGACACUUAUACCCAUACUCUUCGUGAGCUAUCAUUGACAGUAGAGUGCUCCGCAGUGGGUCACGUUCAGUGGCGAUGUACUCUUACAUCUCACCUGCAUGCCAUACCAGUAUCUCCAUACCAUUUGGUUACGAGGACAAUCAAUGCAUAUGGCACACAACGACCUACAUUUGAUAUCGCUAUCGUCCUAGUCAUAGCGUAUCGUUUGGUCGCGAACCAAUUUAAGGACUACGCGAUAAAUCUUCUUUUAUCGAUCAAAGUAGUCCUAAGGACUUCAUCACAACAUAGGAGUUCGUUAGCAGAUGUAUCUUUAUGAUAAAAAAUAUCAAAUAAUUUUUAUUAUUUAUCAAUUCAUAUACAAUUAUAGUUAGCACAAUCGUCAGAUGAUUGAUUUUAGGACACAUUUUUCAAUACUAUGUACAUUCGCUGUGAGAGUUCUAUCAUCUUAGAUCUAUCUCUAUAGACCUUUAUACUAAGAAUGUAGGAAGCUUUUCGUAGGUCUUUCAUGACAUUUUUUUGAUAACCAUACUUUAACCGAUGUCAGCAUGGGAAUAUCAUUUUCAAUCAGGUGGAUGUUAUCCACGUACGAUACGAGGAAUGUGAUAGCGCUCCCACUGAUCUUUUUGUACAUAAUGACUCCUCAUUUUUGAUGAAAUCAAAUGUUUUGAUUACAUCAUUGAAGCGAGUGUUCCAACUUCAAGAUGUUUGUUUAAGUCCAUAUAUGGAUAUUUGCGGCUUGCAGAUCUUGUGAUUAUUAUCACUGGAUAUGAAAUUCAAAGACUGCUCCAUAUAGAUAUCUUUCUCAAGAUAUCCAUUUAGGAAGGCAGUUUUCACAUCCAUCUACCAAAUUUCAUAAUCAUGAAAGGCUGCUAUCGCAAGCAGAGUACGGAUGGAUUUCAGUAUGGCCAUGGAUGCAAAGGUUUCAUGAUAGUCAAUGCCUUCACGUUGACUAUAACUUUUCGCAACUAGCCUUGCCUUAUAGGUCUCUACCUUACCAUCUGAUCCUAUUUUUCUUUUGUAAAUCUAUUUACACCCAAUAGGUAUAAUACCUUCAGNNNNNNNNNNNNNNNNNNNNNNNNNNNNNNNNNNNNNNNNNNNNNNNNNNNNNNNNNNNNNNNNNNNNNNNNNNNNNNNNNNNNNNNNNNNNNNNNNNNNNNNNNNNNNNNNNNNNNNNNNNNNNNNNNNNNNNNNNNNNNNNNNNNNNNNNNNNNNNNNNNNNNNNNNNNNNNNNNNNNNNNNNNNNNNNNNNNNNNNNNNNNNNNNNNNNNNNNNNNNNNNNNNNNNNNNNNNNNNNNNNNNNNNNNNNNNNNNNNNNNNNNNNNNNNNNNNNNNNNNNNNNNNNNNNNNNNNNNNNNNNNNNNNNNNNNNNNNNNNNNNNNNNNNNNNNNNNNNNNNNNNNNNNNNNNNNNNNNNNNNNNNNNNNNNNNNNNNNNNNNNNNNNNNNNNNNNNNNNNNNNNNNNNNNNNNNNNNNNNNNNNNNNNNNNNNNNNNNNNNNNNNNNNNNNNNNNNNNNNNNNNNNNNNNNNNNNNNNNNNNNNNNNNNNNNNNNNNNNNNNNNNNNNNNNNNNNNNNNNNNNNNNNNNNNNNNNNNNNNNNNNNNNNNNNNNNNNNNNNNNNNNNNNNNNNNNNNNNNNNNNNNNNNNNNNNNNNNNNNNNNNNNNNNNNNNNNNNNNNNNNNNNNNNNNNNNNNNNNNNNNNNNNNNNNNNNNNNNNNNNNNNNNNNNNNNNNNNNNNNNNNNNNNNNNNNNNNNNNNNNNNNNNNNNNNNNNNNNNNNNNNNNNNNNNNNNNNNNNNNNNNNNNNNNNNNNNNNNNNNNNNNNNNNNNNNNNNNNNNNNNNNNNNNNNNNNNNNNNNNNNNNNNNNNNNNNNNNNNNNNNNNNNNNNNNNNNNNNNNNNNNNNNNNNNNNNNNNNNNNNNNNCACAAUUUGCUUGUUAAUAGUUAUACUCGCAUCCAUAUGCAAAUGAUAAAGACCGUCAAUUAAGAAAGUACGUGCAAUAAUUUUAUUUUCGAAAUUAAUUGAAUAUAUAUCUUUAUUGAAAUAAAAAUUAUAAUUAUCCUAUGCUAGCACAGAGAUGGAAAUCAAAUUCCUACUGGCUACAAGUACAUAAUAGCAGUCUUUAAGGAUUAAACUAACUUCUAACGAUAAUCGCAGAGGAUAGGUCUCGACGGCCACAACAGCAACCCUUGUUCUAUUGCCGGCUCGGAGAGUGAUCUCGCCUUUCCUCAGCUCUCUCACUUCUUCAAGAUCCUGUAUAGAAGUGCACAAAUGAGCACUUGAUCCAGAAUCUAGAACCCAACUAGAAGAAGAGGAAACCGUUAGAUUAGUUUCAAUAACGAGCAUAUCAUAUGUACCUUCAGAAGGUCCAUCCUUCUUCCUGCUCUUGACAGUCUUCAGGUGGGCCGGACAGUUCCUCCUCCAGUGGCCUUUGACGUUGCAAUGAAAAUACUUUCCUUUGUCAUUAGCCUUCUUCGGAACCUACUUCUUGGGCUUGGUCUCGUUCUUCUGUUCUUCACAGGCUUCUUCUUCUUGAAAGAAGAUUUUUUUUUGAAGGAAGCCCGCUCUACAGUCAGAACUGUAUCCUUUGAACUCUUUAAGGUGCCAUCUACUGUUAUCAGCAUAUUCAAUAACUCAGGCAGAGUGCUAUCAAUUUUGUUUAUAUAGUAGUUCACAAUGAACUGCCCAUAUGAAUCAAGAAGAGAUUGGAGGAUCAGAUCCACCUGCAAUUUCUUGUCCAUGUUCAUGCCGAGCUUUUGAAGUUCCUCGAUGUCCUUGAUCAUUGUCAAACAAUGAUUAUUGACGGAUUGUCCAUCACACAUCUUCGCUUUGAAAAAUCUUCGGGAGACCUCAAAGCAAGCUGUGUGACUCUGCUCACCAUACAACUCUUACAGAUGAGUCAGCAUCUCUCUGGCAGUCAUGUCUUCAUGCUGCUGCUGAAGUUCAUUGGACAUGGACGCUAAAAUAUAACACUUUACCUUGUUAUCUUCAUCCAUCCACUUCUCAAGUAUAGCUCGUUGAUCAGGGGAUGGACGAGCAGGUAACACAGGCGCAUCCUGGUCAAGGACAUGGGUGAGUUUCUUAGAGCUGAGAACGAUUCUCACAUUUCAGAGCCAGUCUUUAUAAUUCGUAUCGAUCAACCAAUUGAUAUCAAGGCUACGGGCUAAAGGGUUGGAACUCGACAUAGUUAUUUGUAGAAAGAACCGUUUCUAAUUAGAUGUUUGUACUUAUAAAAAUAUUUGUUCUAAGGAUUUUAAAAACAAACAAAAGCUCUCACUAUUUUCUUGAAUUUUUCACACUUGGAUGGAGAAACAGAAAUCUAUACGCGAUUGAUUUCAAGUGGGUACUGCGGUUCCAUUAAUCUAUACAAACCUCAUCUAAUAGUUAUUGGUGAGUAUAGACCAAUGAGUGGACAACACUUUAUCCAUUGCUUCACUAAGCAAAAUACAGUGGGCUUGGUCUCUAAGUCCUAUGACCUCACCUAGCAGUUAUUGGUACAUUUCUUAGUUAAGUCAGACCCAUUGUUCACCAGCAGGCGCAAAGCCGUCAUUGGGAUCUUCACCUAACAGUUAUUGGGCCCAAUCCCAUUUCUAUCUCAGGACAUCAAAUGUCAAUAAAGUGAUUGUACCUUCUCAAUGCAACCGAACCACUGUAACCAGCCGAGAACGAUCAAUGCCAGGAAGGCACCUGCAUCUCUACAACGAUGGAAGACCUUUAGAUUUAAUAUUUAAUGAGGAGAUUUAGAUUUAGGUCUCUUCUAAAUCAGCAGAUAUGACAUCCGACUGAUUAAAUUCAGGUCAGCACAUCAACAUGUCUAACCAGCCUAGUCGGUAUAGGUGAAGUUGAGUCAACAAGUAACCUAACACGAAACUGAAUCUCCCAAGAUGGCCAGAUAAGUUAAGAUGAGUGGGGGUCCUCUGUUGCUUUCCUUAGACACCAAUCAAAAUUGGGCAGAUCAGACAACGGAACCAAUUAAAUAACCACUAUCUAAAAACUUAUCUUAGACAUCAAAUUGGUCGAUUAGAAUCGAUCAGGUUAACCUAUUGAAACGGAUCUGAAUCACUGAGCUAAAUUCGGUCUUGAGUCAAUCAACUCACAUCAAAAUGUAAAUCGAUGCGAUCAACUAUAACCAAACUCGAUUUUGAGCCCUUUUGACUUAAUUCUAAUCAACCAUUGAUUAGGUUCAAUCAACUGCUCAAAAUCGACAACGGGUUCUAGCCUGAUCUAAUCAAUUUGAUUCUAAUUGUAGUUUGAUCACUAGACCUAAUUUGUUCAACCCAUACCCACAGCAAUAACAUAAUUUUAGAUCCAAAAAUGAUUUUUAGAUUAUGUUUCAUUGCAUGCAUUAGUGGCUUAUGAUCUUGAAACUGUUUCAGAUUUAAACCUAAGGUCAUAUAUAUAUAUAUAUGUAGUUUCAGAUCCAAACUAAAAUAUGUAUCACAUAUACAUCAAAUUUUAGAUCUAAAACUAAAAUUACACAUAUCAAAUACAUGUAAAAUCAGAUCUAAAAUAAUGAUUAAAAUAUUUUGAAAACAUCUUUUAAAAAAUCGGUUCGCAUCAAACUGGGACAACCUUUUCAAUAUAGGGGGUAAACUCUAUAUCAGGACAACUCUAUAUCAGUUUGAUACGAAUUUUUAAUCAUUCUAAUUUCAGAUCUAAACAUAAAAUAAGACAUAUCACAUCUGCAAAUUUUCAAAUCUAAAAGAUUGAUUUAAUUACUUUGAAAAUAGUUUUUAAAACCGAUCAAUCUUGUGCUAGGACAAUUUUUACAAUAUAGGGGGUAAACUCUAUAUUAGGACAACCUUAUCAGCACAAGAUCAAUUUUAAAUCACUAAAACUUUCAGAUCUAAGACAAAAAUCAGCUCAUAUGUGUCUUUAAAAAUCAGUGGCUCUGAUUCCACUGUUAGAAAGUCUGGUAGGGUGCAUAUGUAGAUUUCAAAAAUCUUUACAAUUGCAGCAGAAAAAUAAUCGGAUUAAACCCUUUAACCCCACAUGCAUUAAAUCUUAUCUAAUCCUAUCCAAGCCCAGGAGAAAAGACAUACAUAUAAUCUGAAAAUUAGAAUUAAGAUGAGAUCAAAUCUCAAUAUCUUUGCGUGGGUAGAAAUUCACCGUUACCGAUGAUCGCUGAUUUGAAAGUCCUCGAGCCGCACACGUGUCUGGCCUCUACAGGUAUCCAUCGGGAUCAAUUUUGAAUCUAUCUUCUCGAAGGAGUAGUAGUAGAUCCUUCUUCUCCGAGUAGGAUCUCAGUCCUUCGGAACCUCGAUCAACUCUUUGAUCUUCACUGCAAAAUCAACCCUUUGAACUGCAGCUUUUUCUCCUCGUUCCUCGCCGUAGGAGACUCCUCAACUCUUGGCGUGUAUAGAAGUGGGAUGCCCAACUUUUGGGCAUUGGAAAGAGGAGAAAAAAGGGGUGGUGUGGAGAAGGAGAGAGGGAGAGAGAUAUAUUUUUAAUCAAUAAAAAAAAAAUUUAAAAACCCUAGGACAUCUUCUCUUUAUAUAGGUCCUUGAUCCAAAUCAGGAAUCCAAUUAACUUAAAAAAGGUACAUCCUUAUCUCAUAAGGAUUUCUACCUUUUUAAUCUGAUUUUUUUUCAAUAAAAUCAGACUUAAUUGGUAGGAUAUCAGUCCACUUUGGCAAGUAUAUGGGGUGCCCCAGUCAAAUAUGGAAAUCUGAGUGGGCGCCCCUUGCAGUUGUGUGUCUCCUGAAUGCAAGGGUAUAUGAGCUUCUGUUAGAGAAGCAUGUGUGUAACCUACUAGAUAUUAAAUUAUAUUACUUACAGAUUUCAGUAAUGUUUACUUAUGGAAGUAUUGCAUAAAAUAUGUUUAGAGUAUCUGGUGUAUCAAAACUGUUGCUUGAAGAAAUUAUGAAAUUGAACUUCCAUGCUCAAACUGAUGUAGAUGGUCUCAAAUUGACAAUUGUUUUCAACUUAUUUUGCUCAAAUAAUUUCAGCCUUCAAACAACAGAUGGUAGAUUUGGCCUUAUGAGGUUUUAACCUGGAUACUAGAAAUUUCUAUAGCACAAGAAAGAGUAAUACAAGGAUGGAUAUGGUGGGUAAAAACAAGACUAAGAACAGUCGUAUCAAGGUGGCAAAAGUGAAAGGAAUUUGAAGUAUCUUGGAAGAAAUGAACUAUUGCAACACGAUGCAAUGGAGUAGUAUUUUAUAGUAGCAGCCCAAGCUAGUGUAACUAAACUGUAUUAUUGUGCUAAAUAAUGGUACAGUCAUGUCAGCAUAUCAUUAUCAAGUUCUUUUUGUACCUAAGAUGUUUGAAAUCUAAGGUCCUUUAGUGUCGAUGAAGGAUGUUUGAAGGUGUUGAGGAUGUGAACAAAAUCCUUUAGCCUUAACAGAAGCAUAGUAGAGUGUACCCCUUAGUGUUCUGUAAAAUGUUUAUGUAAUGGAUUUGUUAGAAUAAAUCAAGGGCAGUCCAAAGCACAUGACAAUAUUCCUAGCAAAUGGCAAAAUUUCUCUACAUUUAUUCUGUACAUAUUGUAAUAUUUCCUUUUUUGUAUUUUUGACCCUUAGAUUUUGCAGCUUAUUGUAACUAACCCAUGAAUCCUGGGAUCUCCUUCAUACAGUUGCUGUUCAUAUUCAGUUUAUGUGAUAAUAGAAUUUGAGCCAUUUAAGCCUUCAUAUUAUUUUACAUGGUUUUAAAGCAUUAACCCUCUCCUCCUCCUCCCACUCAAAAUUUUCUUAGUUCAUUUGUUUGCUUCCUUUGAAACCUAUGACCUCCAAUACCAAUCAAUCAAACACUAUGGUCAACAAUUCUUCUUCCACCACCACUCAUGAAUCUUUCCUUCUUGACACUUAUUCGAGCCCUUACUACCUUUAACAACAUCCUAGUUUCAAGCCCAUUGAAUGGUCACUAUUACCCAACUUGGUGUAGGGCAAUGUUAAUUGCUCUCACCAUGAAGACCAAAGUCAGUUUUGUCAAUGGCUUGAUUCCAUGACCAGAUGAUAGGAUCAUCUAUUCUAACACUUGGAGGUGUGGAAUAAUCUUCAUAACAGAUGUUCUCAAUGUAAUGUUGUUAAAAUUUAUCAACUUUGCCAGUCGAUUAUCAAUUUCUAGCAAGGCCUGAAAUCUGUGGCAGCCUAUUAUAAGCAUCACAAGGCAUUUUAGGAUGAAUUAUCUACUUAUACUGUCCCUCCAACAUGCUCAUGUGGUGUCUUGAAAUUGUAUAUUGGCAUGCAGCAUCAGGAAUGACUGAUGCAAUUUCUUGCAAAUUUGAACGAGUCCUGUGCCGCUAUUCGCAGCCAAAUCCUCUUUGUGGAUCAUUUGCCUUUAGUUACCAAGGCAUACUCUUUAAUCUUGCAACAGGAGCAUCAAAGGAGUAUACAGAUCCCUCCUAUGCUUGAUGCCUAUAUUGUGGCUACCACAGAGCAAACAACUGAUGUUGCUAGUUUUGUAGCUACUGCAGUACAACGUCCUUCCUCUAUAGGCUCUAAUGCUUGUUGCAAGCUGCAUCAUAAACAACCUUGCUGCGACCAUUGCAACAAAAUAGGCCACAUUCUUGCUCAAUGUUAUGCUUUAAAUGGCUACCCAAAGAAAGCUGCUGAUGUGACUCAAUUACAUCCUCUUGAAAGUCAACUUGCAUCAACUUCUAAAGCACCACCUCUGACUUAUGAUCAAUACAAACAGCUACUUGUCCUACUCUCUAAUAGUAAAACAUCACCUUUCUCCAGUUUAGCUAAUGGUGAAAGUAAAACCUCUCCUUCUCCCAAUUUAGUUGGCAAGCCACCUUCUAACUCUCAUUCAGAUCUUUGGUGCAGAGGAAUUUUGCCAUAUGCCAGGAAUUUUGCCAUGUGCUUUUGACUAUCCUUGGCAUUGGCAUUUGGGACAGCUAUCAUGCUCUCGUUAUCUUUUCCUUGCCAAGUCAAAUAAUGAUAUCUCUGUUUCCAAAACACAUCACUGUAGUGUGUGCCCUUUGGUAAAACAAACUAGACCACCUUUUUCUGUUAGCUCAUGUUCUACUUGUCCCAGUUGAAUUAAUUCAUUGUGACAUUUGGGGUAAGAUGCUUGGUACCAUGUUUAUCUGGUGCACAUUAUUUUUAACAAUUGUUGAUGAUUACACCUGUUUCAGGUGGGUAUAUUUGGUGCAACACAAAUCAAAAGUAUCUCAUUUUUUAAAUCUUCCAUAACCAUGGUGACAAGUCAAUUUAAUCAUUUUGUUAAAAAAUUUUCGAAGUGACAAUGGUUUUGAAUUCUUUUCCCAAGAUUUAAAUUUCUUCUUUCAAGAACGUGGGAUCCUUCAACAACAUACUUUUGCUAGAACUCAAUGAAAUGGAGUUGUCGAAAGAAAACUUCAGCAUUUACUUGAUGUUGCUCGAGCAUGAAGAAUGCAUAUUUGCCUUUGUCCUUUCGUGGUGGCUGCUUCUUAUAGCUGCCUACUUAAUUGACCAAAUGCCUUAUGUUUUUUUAAAUUAAAAGAAUCCACAUGAACAAUUUUUUUAACUCUGAAUCCACUUACAAGCAUCUUCAUGUUCUUAGUUGUUUAGCUUAUGCCCAUACUAUCCACACGAGCAUAAAUUUGAUGCUCAAGCUCGAUGAUGUGUGUUCAUUGGUACCCAUAUGGUCAAAAGGGACAUAAGCUUUAUGACCUUGAUAACAACAACACUUUUAGUAGCCAAGAUAUCAAAUUUAAUGAAUCUAUAUUUUCUUUUUGUAAAUUACUUGUUGAUCCUCCAACCCAUUUUGUUGUUCCUUUACCAAUUCAUAAACAAACAUGUGAGAUAUCACCCCCACAUUCAUUUGAUACUUCUCUAGCAACCGUACCAAAUCCUGGUUCUAAUACGGACCAAAUGAAUCUCUCAAAUUCCAAUGAAUGCAAUCAUGCUGUUGUUGAGUCCCACAUUUCCCCUCAAGACAACUCUUAUGCUCCCAUGAUCCCUCCUCAUUCCUCUCAACAACAUUCCAUCCCAUGUCAGAUGAAUGAUUUUGAGUGCUCCACAAUUACUCAUUGCCACUUUCCAUUGGCUUCUUUAAGAGUGAUGUCUAAAGGUAUUAAAUAGUAAGGUUUUCCAUGUCGGAAUUGGACCUCAUGUUGGUCGGUUGGCAAUAUGGUUCAGUAUGCCCUUGUAUCGUUCUGUACAAGGCCCAACAUGACAAAGAAAGUGGGGAAGGAGAAUAGGAGAGGAAAAGAUAGAGAGGGGGAGGGAAAGUGAGGGAGGGAAGCAAAGGGAGAUGACAGAGAUGUCGGUGGUGGCCGUCGAAGGGCCAUGGAGGCCCUUGGGUGAUCGGAGGAGCAAGAAACUUUAAACAGACCGAAUUGAGAGAGAGGGGGGGAUGGAGGGAGAGGGAGGGAAGGAGAGGGAGAUGGCAGAGACAUCGGAGGGCUGUAGAGGCCCUCGGAUGACCAGAGGAGCAGAGAACUUUGAAUGGACCGAAUUGAGAGAGGAAAAGGGGGAGAGAGGGGGAGGGAGAGCGAGGGAAGGAGAAAAGGAGGGCGGGAAUACCUGUGGAGGCCAGCGGUGGCUACCGGAGAGCCGUAGAGGCCCGAAUCCUUUGCCCCACCUUCCGUUCAAUAACAAAUUUGUGAUUUUAUUUUUUUCGCUAAUAGUGAAGUCAUUGGCAACAGGUUUGUUGACUUCAUUAUGGGUCAGUAAAAUAAAAAAUGGGUUAUUAGGUGAAGUCUGCAAUAGUGUUAUUCCCUAAGAAAUAUGAAAUAGGGGCUUGGCCUCUUUUUUGAUUGGCGACUUUCAGCCUCCAACUUCAUUGGCGAGUCUUCGGCAAGCCUCCGAAGGGUCUCUCUCCCUCUCCCCUCUCCUUUCCCACCUCUCUCUCUCUCUCUCUCUCCNNNNNNNNNNNNNNNNNNNNNNNNNNNNNNNNNNNNNNNNNNNNNNNNNNNNNNNNNNNNNNNNNNNNNNNNNNNNNNNNNNNNNNNNNNNNNNNNNNNNNNNNNNNNNNNNNNNNNNNNNNNNNNNNNNNNNNNNNNNNNNNNNNNNNNNNNNNNNNNNNNNNNNNNNNNNNNNNNNNNNNNNNNNNNNNNNNNNNNNNNNNNNNNNNNNNNNNNNNNNNNNNNNNNNNNNNNNNNNNNNNNNNNNNNNNNNNNNNNNNNNNNNNNNNNNNNNNNNNNNNNNNNNNNNNNNNNNNNNNNNNNNNNNNNNNNNNNNNNNNNNNNNNNNNNNNNNNNNNNNNNNNNNNNNNNNNNNNNNNNNNNNNNNNNNNNNNNNNNNNNNNNNNNNNNNNNNNNNNNNNNNNNNNNNNNNNNNNNNNNNNNNNNNNNNNNNNNNNNNNNNNNNNNNNNNNNNNNNNNNNNNCUCUCUCUCUCCUCCAUCUUUUCCUCCUCAUUUCCGGCCCUCCAACGGGCAUAGAGGCCCUCUGAUGGCGUCGGCCAGCCUCCAACAGCCUUCGAGGGGUCUCUCUCCCUCUCCUUUCCUCUCCUCUCCUCUCUUCUCCUCCUCUCCCCAUGUCAUUCUAUCUCUUUUCCUUCUCUCCUCCUUGUUGGCCCUCUAGCAGGUGCAGCGGCCCUCUAGCAGCCUCGACUGCCCUUUAGGGGUUCCCUCUCUCUCUUCGUCUCUUUUCCUCCCCCCUUUCUCUCUUUUCCUCUCUUUCCUUUGGCAUUCCAAAUUUCAUGCCAGAACCAUGCUGAUAGGUGCUAGUACAAUCCGACAAGCCUUGAACCAUCUGGUUUGGGUCAAUUUGGUGAAUCCUACUAAAUACCCUAUAUGUUACUACCAUAACUCUUUGACAUUUUUCCAUGUCUCACCUUGCUCUUGUUUCAGCUUUAUGCUAUAAUUCUAAACUUAGAACUUUUAGCGAAGCAGUGAAGCAUUCACAUUUGAGAGAUGCCAUGGUAGCAGAAAAAAAUCGGAGCAUUGGAAGAGAACAAUGUUUGGAUUGUCACUUCUCUUCCACCAAAAAAGAAACCCAUAGGCUGCAAAUGGGUUUACAAAGUCAAAUACCAUGCCC